AUUCCUUGCAACUAAAGUUACUUGUGUUUUAGAAAUAAUAUUUAUAUUAUAACAACAAACUUUCAAUUCUGAGUGCCAAAAUUCUAUCUUAGUACUUUUCAAAAUUCAACAUAAACAACAUUAGAAAGCUUAUAAUCAGUAGCAGCAAAAAUAUACAAAUAUUCAUUUCUCCAGCUGGAAGCACUUGAAAAAUAAAUGAAUAAAUGAAUGCAGUGAGUCUUGACACAGUUGUACAGGGAUAUCAUAAGACAUUAAAGUUGAGUUGGGAUGUAGGCUGUCAGUUCCCAUGGCAUAUCUUGACACAAUAGAAUGCACUUUUCAAAUAUUAUUAGAGAUUGAAAAUGAUCUCCUUUUUUUACAGAUGAGACAGAGACGGUAAUGUGAAAAAUCUGAAAUCUUAUUAUUUUUAAUUUGAGUCUGGAAAAUAUUUAUCUAACAUAUAUGUCUACACAUUUUUAUAAACAAAAACAUUCUAUAUAUACAGUGGAAACGUCAAAAAAAUGUGCUGAGCAAGAUAAAGUUACAAAUUCAGCAGUUCCAUGGUUUUCUUACAAAUAAUAACCUACAGAAAAUAAAAUAAAAUAAAAUAAAAUAAAAUAAAAUAAAAUAAAAUAAAAUAAAAUAAAAUAAAAUAAAAUAAUAAAAAUAAAAUCUCAUCUGAAAGAACAAUAGUCUUGCUCACCAAGAAUUUGGAGGGUAUAAAAUGCCACUAUUAAGACUGAUAUUUUUAUGUGUGCAUGAUAAUAACUGUGCUUGGCAUUGGAGAGAAAAUCAGUGAUGUUAAGAGAGAAACCAAUUAUUUUUACAUCCUAAUCCAGACUCCUGAAACAAGACUCUAUUUUUCCCCUGCCACCUCUUGUCCCAUUUGCUGUCCUUACUUCACAAUGAAUGGGGUAUGCUUCUGGGUUAGCAGUUUCUUCUCAGUUUACUAAGACACACAUCUUAAACUGAAAUUACAAAAAAGAUUAGCUGAAACAUAAGUUUAUAAGUAUUAUAUUUGUGAAUGAGUGCUCUAAUUUUUAUUUUAAAAAUACUGGAAAGCACUUUGCUACAUGAGGAAGGUCAGAAAGUAAAAUGACCACCAAGGCUUGGUCUUACAGCUGUACGAUCAGUAUUCACCAUAUGGCCUAAGAGAAUGGCUAUUAGCAGAAAUAGGCUAUUUUCACUCACAAACCAUCCUUAGAAGAUGUCAUUCAUUUUUGUCAAUGGCUUGACCAUCUAUUUGCUAGUGGAAGAGCAAUAGCCCUCAAUCUCUGGAGAGGAAGACUGGCUAGGACUGACACAGCACAGAUAACGAUGGAAGACUGGCCCGGGUUCAUUGUCAAAGUCUGAGAUUUCAUCUGCAGUUAGAAGAUUUUGUUUUAAAGCCCAACAGUGGCAACACAGCAGACAAUUUCCUCUGUUACUAUGAUUUAAACAAACCAGAAUGAAGUUUAGGUGUGAGUUAGCUUUUUUUUUUUUUUUAAUGGUGUUUUAGUUCUUCUUACAAUAAAACCAUUGCUGAUGCAAACA
rnacentral:lncRNA from 1 species